CGCUCUUUGAAACACAAAAAUAAAGAGUCGUGCCUGCCCAGUGAUAAUUUUAAACGGCCGCAGUACCCUGACUGUGCUAAGGUAGCAUAAUCACUUGCUCUUUAAUUGAGAGCUAGAAUGAAUGGCUUGACGAAAACAUUACUGUCUCUUUUACAUUAACUAAAAAUUAAUCUUUAGAUGAAAAAGUCUAAAUAACUUCAAAAGACGAAAAGACCCUAUCGAGCUUAAAAACAAUUUUAAUUCUAACCUACUAGAUAAAACAAAAUUAAAACAUAAUUUUUUGUUGGGGCGACAGAAGAACAUUCAAAGCUUCUUUUAAUUUAAUAAACUAAUAAGUUUAAAAGAUCCAUUAAUAUUGACUAAAAGAAAAGUUACCGUAGGGAUAACAGCGUAAUUUCUUUAGAGAGCUCAAAUUGAAAAAGAAGUUUGCGACCUCGAUGUUGGAUUAAAAAAUCUUUUUGAUGCAGCAGUCAAAAAAGAAGGUCUGUUCGACCUUUAAAAUUUU
rnacentral:rRNA from 1 species